UGGGGAAUUUUCCGCAAUGGGCGCAAGCCUGACGGAGCAAUACCGCGUGGGGGAUGAAGGUCUGUGGAUUGUAAACUCCUUUUCUCUAGGAAGAAGUUCUGACGGUACUAGAGGAAUCAGCAUCGGCUAACUCCGUGCCAGCAGCCGCGGUAAGACGGAGGAUGCAAGCGUUAUCCGGAAUUAUUGGGCGUAAAGGGUCCGCAGGUGGCUAUUCAAGUCUGCUUUCAAAGAGUGGAGCUCAACUCCAUAGAGGGAGUGGAAACUGAGUAGCUAGAGUAAGGAAGGGGUAAGAGGAAUUCCCAGUGUAGCGGUGAAAUGCGUAGAUAUUGGGAAGAACACCAGCAGCGAAGGCGUCUUACUGGUCCUUAACUGACACUGAUGGACGAAAGCUAGGGGAGCGAAAGGG
rnacentral:rRNA from 1 species